UACGUAGGGUGCAAGCGUUGUCCGGAAUUAUUGGGCGUAAAGGGCUCGUAGGCGGUCCAUCGCGUCGGGAGUGAAAAGCUGGGGCUCAACCCCAGUCCUGCUUCCGAUACGGGUGGACUAGAGGUAUGCAGGGGAGAACGGAAUUCCUGGUGUAGCGGUGAAAUGCGCAGAUAUUGGGAAGAACACCGGUGGCGAAAGCGCGCGACUGGACCUGAACUGACACUGAGGGACGAAAGCUAGGGGAGCGAAUGGG
rnacentral:rRNA from 1 species